rnacentral:misc_RNA from 2 species
AGCAGCCGCGGUAAUUCCAGCUCCAAUAGCGUAUAUUAAAGUUGCUGCAGUUAAAAAGCUCGUAGUUGAAUUUCGGGACCAUCAUGUCGGUCGUGCCUCGGUACGUACUGGCAUUGUUGGUUUCUACCUUCUGACGAACCAUGAUGUCAUUUAUUUGGUGUCGUGGGAAAUCAGGACUGUUACUUUGAAAAAUUAGAGUGUUUAAAGCAGGCUCACGCUUGAAUACAUUAGCAUGGAAUAAUGAAAUAGGACGUUUGAUUCUAUUUUGUUGGUUUCUAGGAUCGACGUAAUGAUUAAUAGGGAUAGUUGGGGGCAUUAGUAUUCAAUUGUCAGAGGUGAAAUUCUUGGAUUUAUUGAAGACUAACUACUGCGAAAGCAUUUGCCAAGGAUGUUUUCAUUAAUCAAGAACGAAAGUUAGGGGAUCGAAGACGAUCAGAUACCGUCGUAGUCUUAACCAUAAACUAUGCCGACUAGGGAUCGGAUGAUGUUAAUUUUUAAUGACUCAUUCC